rfam:Myceliophthora thermophila ATCC 42464 chromosome 2, complete sequence.
GGCCUGAUGGCGCAAUGGUAGCGCGUUACUUUCCGGUCUCCUCCCGACUCCUCUCGACUCUCCCAGGUCGAAGGGAGCGCGAGCAAACGUGGCUGGUAAAGGUUCUGGGUUCGAGUCCCAGUCGGGUCG